CGGUUUUGUGUGUCUCAGGACUCGCACCUGACCUCUGUCUCCUCCCAGGCAGAACAGGAGUUUCUCUCCAAUGAGACCAAGGGACAAGAUCACUGGAUUGGACUCACCGACUGGGAGACAGAAGGCAGCUGGCGCUGGGUGGAUGGCACAGAAUACAGAGCAGACGCAAGCAGGGAGUUCUGGGAGG